rnacentral:lncRNA from 1 species
AAUAAAAACAAAUGGUUAAAAUGAUACUACGAAAGAUCCACAUAUGAAAGUUCAAGAUUUGAGCAAUGUUGAUAUCCCUGAAGGAAUCAAUAAGCUUGAGACUCAAGAAAAUGAGGAACUAUCCAUAAAUUCAAUUGAUGUUGAAACUAAUUUGACUCGAUCUGAAAUAAUAGUGGAUUAUGUCUUUGCAUAUAAUGUUGCAAUGAAAAUCAUGCAAGACAGUGAGGAUCUUGAACCUCGAUCUGUCACAGAAUGUCGACAAAGAAAUGACUGGCCAAAAUGGCAAGAAGCAAUUCAAUCUGAAUUGAAUUCGCUCGCCAAACAUGAAGUUUUUGGACCUAUAGCUCAAACACCUAAUGGUGUUAAGCCCGUUGGCUAUAAAUGGGUCUUUGUGCAAAAAAGAAAUGAGAAAAAUGAAAUAAAAAGUAUAAACCACGCCUUGUUGCAUAAGGAUUUUCACAACGGCCUGGUGUCGAUUAUGAUGAGACAUAUUCACCAGUUAUGGACGCAACAACAAUGCAUUAUCUUAUUAGUUUCACUAUCUAUGAGAGACUUUAAAUGCAUUUGAUGGAUGUGGCAACAACCUAUCUAUAUGGAUCACUUGAUAAUGAGAUAUACAUGAAGAUUCCCGAAGGAUUUAAAAUGCCGAAAGUAUAUAGUUCAAAGCCUAGGAAAAUGUACUCCAUUAUAUUGCAAAGAUCAUUGUAUGGUCUGAAGCAAUCUGAACGCAUGUGGUAUAACCGUCUUAGUGAAUAUUUAUCUAAAGAAGCCUAUACAAAUGAUGAAAUUUGCCCAUGUGUUUUCAUAAAGAAAGCAACAUCGGAGUUUGUUAUACUUGUUGUCUAUGUCGAUGACAUAAACCUUAUUGGAACUCCAAUAGAGCUUCAAAAGUAAAUUGAUUACCUAAAGAAAGAAUUUGAGAUGAAAGAUAUCGGAAAGACAAAGUUAUGCCUUGGUUUGCAAAUUGAGCAUUUGACAAACAAUAUUUUUGUCCAUCAAUCUGCCUACACAGAAAAGGUGCUGAAAUGAUUCUAUAUAGAUGGAGCACAUCCAUUAAGUACUCCGAUGGUUGUUCGAUCACUUAAUGUGAAUAAGGAUCCAUUCCGACCUCAAGAAAAGAAUGAGGAACUCCUUGGUCCUGAAAUACCAUAUCUUAGUAUAAUUGGUGCACUAAUGUAUCUUGCAAAUACUACAAGGCCUGAUAUAUAGCCUUUUUAGUUAAUUUGUUAGCAAGGUAUAGUUCUGCUUCUACUAGGAGACAUUGGAAUGGGAUCAAACACAUAUUACAGUAUCUAAAAGGGACUAUCGAUAUGAGAUUAUUUUAUCCUAAAGAUUGUAGUUCUGAUCUUGUUGGUUAUGCUGAUGCUGGGUACUUAUUUGACCCGCAUAAAGCUCGGUCUCAAACAAGCUAUGUGUUUAUAUGUGGGGGUAUUGCCAUAUCUUGGAGAUCAACAAAGAAGUCUAUCGUAGCCACUUCAUCGAAUCACGCUGAGAUUAUAGCUAUUCACGAAGUAAGCUGAGAGUGUGUAUGGUUGAGGUCCAUAAUACAUCUCAUUCGAGAAAAAUGUGGCUUGAAAUGUGACAAAGUACCUAUGAUUUUAUAUGAAGAUAAUUCAGCAUGCAUAGCACAACUUAAAGGAGGAUUCAUAAAAGGAGAUAUAACGAAGCACAUUUCGCCAAAGCUUUUCUAUACACAUGAGCUCCAAAGGAAUGAUGAUAUUAAUGUGUCACAGAUUCAUUCAAGUAACAAUGUGGCUGAUCUAUUCACCAAUUCUCUUCCAACUGCAACUUUCAAGAAGAUGGUGCACAAGAUCAAAAUGCAAAGGUUCAAGGAUGUUCUCAUUAGGAGGAGUUAAUACGCGUUGUACUCUUUUUCCCUUACGAGGUUUUAUCGCACUAGUUUUCCUUGUAAGGUUUUUAAUGAGGCAACUUAUAUGUGUAUAUCUAUCAAUUAGACAUUCAAGGGGAAGUGUUAUAAAUGUACCAUAUAUAGUGAAUGUCUACUUUAUCAUAUAUAUGAAUAGCUACUUUACCAUAUAUUGUGUAUGCCUGUUUAUGGAAAAGUUACAAACCCAAAGUUAGUUUUCCCCCAUAAUGGGUUUUCCUUCAUUGUAAUUCAUACAAGAGAAGAAAUAAGAAUUAUUCUCUCUAUUCUCUCUACUCUUAUUCUUGUUCUUUAUUGUUUUAUAAUAAUUUGCAACAAGUAACACAUUUUGUUUGAACUAAUGCGCCACAAUUAAGAUAUGGAUAAUGCUAAUCACAAGGUAGUGUUCAAUUCAAAUUGUGAAGUGUAAUACGAGAAGUUGUAAAACCUUAAAGAGAUUUAGAUAAGAUUUUUUUUUAUAAAAAGGGGUAAAAGAACCUGCAAGAGAAGGUCUUUUUGUAGGAAUCAAUAACUAAAAUUACUAAAUGACGUAGUUUGAAUAUUAUAAAACCUUUUGUUUUGCUUGAAUGCAUUGUAAUAAGAAUAUUUUACUUUAAAGUUCAACCUGCAAAUUAAUAAGAUGUGGAUGUGAUAAUGAUUAAAAGAAUUAAAAUAUUUUAAAUAAUUUUUAAAAGGAACGAAUACGAAUUUUUUAUUUUGUAAAGCAAGACAAUUAUGAAACAUUAUUUAUAGAAAUCAGUUGUUAGUGAAUAGUUAAUUAGUUAUUAAUAAACACUAGGAUUUGUAUUCGCGCGAUGCGUGGUCUAUGUUUUAAAAAUUAAUUUUAGAUUAUCUUGAUUAUUUGAAAAUAUGAAAUUCAUAUACAUUUAUGUAAUUCAUAUACAAACAACUCUAAUUUAUAACACAAAAUAAAAAAAUAGAUAAGAAUACAUCCUAUGAGAUUAUAUAUAUUUGAUAAUCUCUCAAAUUUCUUAUAAAAAAGUAGCUUGUUCAUUUCAUCCUAUCUUCAAAAGUUAAGCACCUUAAUAAGACGAAAAAUCUACUAUAAACGUAGGAGAAAGAAUAUCAGAAUGAAUAGAUUAGUUUCGCUAGUACUAUGCAGAAGAAUUUCUUUAAAUAUUUGUUGCUUUUCUUGUAUAGAAGGCUUACUUGUUUAAUUCUUGUUGUUGCUCUUAAACUUCCACAUUUCACUCUUCCAUAAUAAUCUUAUUCUAUAUUACUAAGGCCAUCUUAUCUAACUUCCUGAAGAAAUUUUGUUCAAUUUCUUCAUGUUUGUCAUCUUUUGCUACUACAUCAAUCAAUAAUACUAUCCCCAUCAUUGAGUAUUUCAUGAAAUGAUUAAAGUAAAAAAUAUUUUCGCGAGAGAAAACCUUGUAUCUAAAGCAAAAAUAGAUACUUCUUCAAUUGAUGAUCUUGUGUUUAAAAGUAAAAUAUCACAAUGAGUUUCAACAUCCAGAAGAAGUUUCACAGUUGGAGGACUCCCUUUUGCAAUGUUAUAAUAUUAAUAACUUAACAUGCCCAUUAAGGACAGUUAAGUAUUUGUCCAAAUUAUUGGUGUUCAGUUGGUAACAACUCACUUAUGCCCAUUAAGGACAGUUAAGUAUUUGUCCAAAUUAUUGGUGUUCAGUUGGUAACAACUCACUUAUGUUAAAAAUAGAACUAACCAACAAAUUAUAACACUACAUUAUUAAGCAAUAUAAUAUAUUAUCAUAGAUUUAUAAAAAGUUUCAGUCGCUCAUCCCAUAAAUUAAAAUUUAUUUAAAAUGGAUAAAUAGCAUGCACUAUAUUAUCAUUGAAGUCUCUUUCACUAAUCUGAUUUACUUCCACUUGCAAGUACUUAGUACUGCAAAUGCUAGGUAUUGCAACUCAAAAAAUCUAAUCGACUUCAUUAAAACACUAUAUUUUAAAUAUGUAAAACUCACACCUAUAUAAAUUGUACAAUACAUCUAUAAAGUCAAAUUUAACUCAAUUUAACCAUCAAGAAAUUCAGAACAACCAAUAGUGUCUACAUAUAUUAUCGAGUUAAUGUUUGAUGCAGUUAAAAUUAAGGACGUGAUACUUAUAAUUUUAUAAAACGUAUGUACUUCUUUUAUCAAAAUGUAGCAAAGAGCACUUCAAUAUCCUUUUUUUUUUGUGUGUGAUAAUUAUAAUAAGUAUUGUCUUCAUAUGAUAAAGAAGCUAAAAAAUCAUAUUUUUACCAAUAGAUUCUUGAAUUGUUAUCUAUAACCUUAUGGUAUAUCUAAAAUCAUAUUGACAAUCUUUUGACCCUUCUGCGCAUUAAAGACCAUAUAGAUUGCAUCCCAUUCACCUUCUUUUACUUUAUUUUAUAGAUCAUGUCACAUUUAUCCUAACAAAUAAUAUCAAUGUUAGAAUAAGUGGCGACCCCAUGCGAUUUUCUUUUCUUUUUUGCUCUAGUGUAAUCAAAGACGUUGUCAUACUUCAUGAGCGGGUAUGGGUGAGUUUCAGAAGAGAAUCAAAUAGCCGUUCUAUGUGUAACCCAUGCAAAUAAAAUUUAGAUUAGAAAAGAUAAUCAAAUUUCGACUAAAAAAUAGAUAAAUAAAGCAAGAAAAUUUAGUGUGCUAUAAACAAAGAAAUCAAAAUAUCUCAACAAAACUGUAAGAUUUGAAUAUGUUUAUUUCUGUGGAUAAGCAGAUUGUUCACGCCGUAGCACACUAUCAUUGAUUUAUUCUAUGUUUUUUCUUUGAAUCUUUCAUGGUAAAAUUUUGUUUCAAAAUAAAAGCAAAGAAGAAGGAUAAAGGAGGCACAAUUAACAGAAAUAAGAGAAAUAAUAAAAUCUUAAAAUUAAUAGAAAUAAGAGAAACAGUUGAAUCAUAUAUCAUAUUUCAAACCAACAAAUUCAAUCACUUGAUGUAAUCUCUUAUCAAAUUUUUGGGAUUAUGUAGGAAUAGGAUAGUGGCUUAACUUUUAGAAUAAGUGUUGAUUAUGGAUGAUAAAGUUCAUUUUUGGGAUUUAACUUUUUUGGGAUAAAGUGGCUUUGCUUUUUUCCUUUGAAUGAAAACUUUUUAAUCUCUCCUUUUUCAGUGAUUGGUUAAUCGAGUGAAGUGUAGCAAGCGUGUUUGGAUAUCAUUGUUUCAUAAUAAAUAUAAAAGUUAAAUGUGAUGAGAGAGUUUAAGAUUUAUAAAUUAUCAAGUUAUUCGUAAUUAUAAAAAAAAAAAUUCAACUAAUUAUCUAUCUUUAAUGAAUUAAGUUGUAAUUUACUCUCAAAUAAUUAUUGAUGUUUAAUGCAAUUCAUUUUGGUAGCUUAAAAAUUAACAUACCAAAAUCGUUGCAAAAGUAUCACUUAGCUCUCGUGCAAUGCAUUUUUCAGGAAAAUAAAGUGCAAAGUUAUCUACAAUAUAUAAAAAAAAUGAGCCACAUCUAAAAUAAAUUUUGCUUUUGCUCUAAUUCUGGGAGUCGAAAGUUCUUCUUUUUCCUUCAUUGCAAUAUAUGAAAUCAUAAUACGAAAACGUUAGUGAAAGAAGAAUUCACAUAUAAUGUUGUCAACUCAUUCAAAAAGUUGAUCAAACGUUACCGAUAUAUGAGAAAAUUUUUAUAUGUUUAUUAAAGGUCUAAAGAUGUGUUUGGUAUAGGAAUUUCAAAUGCUACAUGUCCUUACUUUUUACUCUCUCAUUUCAUUUUUAUGUGGUAUCAUAUUCUUUUUAAUCCAUAUCGAAAUAAAUGACAUCUUACUAUAUUUAAAAUAAUUUUAAUUUAAAAUAUCUCUUUAAUCCCUAAUUGAAAUGAUUAACAACCCAAAAAUAUUGUUAUAUUGUCCUCUUCCCUAUCCAAACCUUCUCAUUCAUAAUUCCUAAAAUAACAACGAUAAUUUCAAAAAUCUUUUCAUUAAACGAUAAUAUCAUGCAAAUUCAUCUUCUUCUUUUAUCACUACUCCAUUUCAAUUAAUUUUACUUGAUAAAGCCUAACAAUUUCAUUUAUCAAAUUAAUGCUUACAAAAUAAACUGCACAAAGGCAUGUAAAUAUUGAUUUGAGUAAUGAAAUAUUUACAUGUAAACUGUACAAAAACAUAUAAAUGCAUAGUUUCUAAAAUCUACAUGGUUGAAACACUACUCUAAUACGUGUAUAUUGAGAAUUUUCUUCCUUGGUAUGAAAUUGAAGAUAAGAGAUUAAGGGUUAGAUUCAAAAUCUAUUAGAGAAAAAAUUAAAUUGUUAACUGAAAAACAUAAAGUCAUCGAAUGAAUUGCCGGGUAAAUUCAUCACAUUCGUAUGCAACAACAAAGUUUUAACCAUUAUUCUUAUUCAAAUAUAUUUGAUAAUCACGUUUGAUUCAAAUUUAAGAACAUAAACAUGGUUGGAAGUAAUUAUCUGGUUAAUAGUUAUAGAAAGGAAUAUAUAUAUAUAUAUAUAUAUAUAUAUAUAUAUAUAUAUAUAUAUUGUCAAAUCACUAAAUACGAUUUGGCUUAAUUAGUGGAAUAGUUCUAAUUUCAAAAUUCCUAUUUUUUUGGUUUUUUUAUUCUGUAAAACUUAAUUAACAAUUAAAGUGACUGUAAAUUUGAAUUUGAAAAAAAUCUGUAAAAGAUAAAAUAAAUACUAACUAAUUCUUAACUAAUUAACUAACUUUUCCUAUAAAACUACAUGUGUCAAUCUUUAAGGAUGCCACUUGGCGUAAUCUAGAGGCUUUGUCCUCUCCUUUUAAUAAUAUAUAGAUAAGAAAAAAGGCUCAAAUAUGUCAUUGAACUAUAAAAAAUGACUCAUUUAUGCCAUCAGUGAAAAGUUCAGCUUAUUCAUGUUAUCACCAUUAUAAAAUCAACCCACCCAUGCCAUUACUUUUUAAUGAUGAAUUUUUUAAAAAUAAAUUUUCCACGUAGUCUUUUAUUAUAAGUUCACACCAUUAAUUAAAAGAAAUCAAUAUUAAUUUCAAAAUAUUUGAAAUUAGUUAAUAUCGAAAUUAUUUAUUCCAACAUAUAUAUCAUAAUGAUGGGAGAAGUUAUCACAAUGAAAGCUAAGAGCUUGCUCGAAGACAGCCUUUACUUUUUAGUAGUAAUCUUUCCACAAGCUCGGGGUUCAACGAAACAGAAAGUUUCAGCAUGUUGAAAAUGGGGUUAGCGUGAAAGAGACUAGGCGCCCUAUCUCUGCUCGUUACGUUAGCAAGCAAGCCAUCGUAAGAGACGCAUACUUGGUGGGAUAAUUGGAAUAGCAGACUUCUUUUAAGCUUCUUUUCUUGAGCCGGGGGUCUAUCGGAAACAGCCUCUCUACUUCUUCAGAUGUAGUGGUAUGGACUGCGUACGUUCUACCCUUCCCAGACCCCACUAUGUGGGAAUAUACUGGGUUUGUUGUUGUUGUUGGUGCAAAUUUCUUUUAAGCCGUUAUUUGAAAAUGAUUUUUCAACAAUGUAUGUUCUACUAAUUUGUGAUGGGAGAAGUCAUCUCAUAUACAUGGCGGGAUAGUUGGGAUAACAGACUUCUUUGAAGCCGUAAUUUAGAAAUAAUUUUUCAAUAAUGUUUGCUCCCCUAAUUCGUGAUGGGAGAAUAUUGGAGAAGCUCUAUUGGUACGCCUCUUUCUUUUUUUUGUUUGCCCUAAUCAUUCAUUGGCUUAUUUUCUUGCAACUUCGGAGUAUAUAUUGGAGUAACUGGAAUUAAAUGUAGGAUAGGAUUUUUGAGAUUUUUGUUAAGCGUAACAUUUAAAAUGAUUUAGAAUCAACUAGAAAUAGCCAAAAGAUAUACAUUAAUUACUAUUUCUUCUGAUAAAAAAAUUAGUUGUUGUUGUAGGAAAAAAAUACUUUAAUGGGUGUGGGUCAAGUUAUGUUAUAUGAACUGGUUGUUUUUAAUGGAUCUAAGAUAUUUGAAAUUAAUAUUAAUUUAUUUUAAUUAAUGUCGCGGACCUCUAAUAAAAGGCCACAUCGAAAACAGUUUUUGAAAAAGCACCAUUAAAAAGUCAUGGCAUGGGUGGGCUGAUUUUAUAACGACGAUGACAUGAAUGAGCUGAACUUUUAACUGAUAGCAUAAAUGUGCCAUUUAUAGUUCAAUGACAUAUUUGAGUCUUUUUCCUUAUUUUAAUUAAUGACGUGAACCUUUAAUAGAAGAUCAUGUGGCAAAACUGUUUUUGAAAACCACCUUUAAAAAUUAAUGGCAUGGAUGAGCAGAUUUUAUAACGGCGAUGACAUGAAUGAGCCAAACUUUUAACUGAUGGUAUAAAUGAGCGACUUGUACUAUAUAUUUAUGUUACUGGAACUCUUUAAAAAGGUUGUCUAAUCCUCAAAAAAUAUACAAAUUUUGAAGGAUCUGACAUACAACUUUGAAUAGUAUGUUCACUUAGGUCCCUGAUAUAUCAGUAGGAAAUGGGAACUCCCCCGAACGAAGAAUCCUUACAGAUAUUUAGGGAACUCCCUCGAACGAUGAAUCUUUACAGAUUCCAGUUCGUAAAUUUAUUUUUAAGUGGCUAUUUCAAUCAACAUAUUAAGUAAGAGAACUAUAUUCGUGCCACCAAAAAUGAAAUGUGUGUCCUUGGAACUUCAAUCAUAUGUUGAGGGAACUUAUGCCUUUUUUGUUAAAUUGUUCUUUUGAAUAAAUAGAUCACAGAAAUCAAUUCAAGAACACGAGCUCCUCUAUUACUUCUCUCGAAUAUCAUUGAGUUGUUCCCAAAGAAUAUUGAGUUGUACAACACAAUAAGAAAUAACAAGCUAGAAGACAUUACAACAUAAUUUUAUCGAAUAAAACUCCCAUUAUUGAACAGAAACCGAUUGAAUGUCUUGUUGCUCAUCCUCUCCGUGUCUUCUUUUUUCCAAAAGCUGCUCCAGAAAUCCAAGAUACUUAGUAGCGAUCAUGCCAUCUUACUUUUUUUCUUGCUAUAACAAAGCAAUAUAAAUUAGAAAUCUAAAGUCUUCUAUUUACAAUCAAAUCAUGUCAAUUAACGUAUAGAAAUAUCAAGAAUAUUUAGCUCAUGAGUACAUCAUUCUAUAUUUUCUAAAAAGUUACUGAAAGACGAUUAUGUAGAGAAAGUAACAUAUAUCUUUUAAAACUCAAGAGGAAGCCUCCAAAUCAACACAAGUGAUGUAUAUGUUAGAGGAAUUGUUACAAAGAAAUCAAUGUUAGGAAGCGAAACAAGCUACACCAAAUUAUGCAAUAAACUAGAAAAUAAAAAUGCAAAGAGAACACCUUGAAAUGUGAGUUCAUAUUUAAUUUUCUUUUUCAUAAUUCUGUAAAAUUUACUCCACUAUAUCAAUAUCAAAAAUAAAUGCCAAUAAUACUUGUCCAUUUUGAAACCAAAUAAUAAUUUACCUAUUUUACCCUUAGCAUUAAAUACUAUUCAUUAUCCAAUGUGUUUUCCAAAGCAAUAGAUUUAUUAGAUUCAAAGGGUAAUAUGGUAAAACUAGCCCUAUCAUUUACUAUUUUUUAACUUAUGUGUCAAGUUAAUAGUGGACAACUAUUGAUAGACGGAGGUAGUAACAAUUAGACCAAAUGUGUUCACAUUUAGCAAGCUUAAACUAAAGUACCAAAAUAGCUCAAAAAUAUAUUUAAGGGGAUAUUUUGAACUACCCUCAAAUAUAAUAGAUAUUCUUGUUAAUUUCUCUUACAUUUUACGUAGAGUUUUAACCAAAUUUUAUCAAAGUUAAUUUUUUGAAUGAAUAUGGGACAAAGCUAAAUAACUUUUGUGUACGACUUGACUUGUGGAAAUGAGAAACAGAGUGUGACCUUGAUAAAUACUAUAUACUUACAUGAAUCUGAGAUGCGAACGUCCACGGGGUUGUUUCCGAUGUCUUCUUGUUCUUGUUGAAUUCGUGCAGCAGAUUCCCCAAGUUCGGGAAGACAACUUGUUAACUCAAUCAGUUGUAGUGUGUGGAUUUCUGCAAACUCAAUGGGUAUCUCUUUCAAAUUAUGGCAUUUGUUAAGCACAAGGCGCUCAAGGACAGGGAAAUUGUCAUUUGUGGCUUUCCAGUAAUUGAGAUGAUUACCUUCAAUUAUCAAAACCUUCAAUCGAGUAAAUCCCCUAACAUUUGGAUACCAUUCACUGCCAACACAAGCACUAAUCAUCAGCUUCAGCACCUCAAGGUUAGGCAAUUCAGCUAUGAUGUCCAAGUACGACCAACUUAAUAAAGUAAGUCUUAACUUCAGCUUCUUGAGCGUUGCUGGAAAAGCUUUUGCACUUGCUGGCAAAAGUCGACUAGAACAAAAUGUAAGAUUCAAUGUUUCAAGUUGCUGCAGAUGGACAAGAUUGUUGAGAAGCCCAUUAGAGCCCAUCCUCUUUCCUUCUCUGAUUCCUAAUUCUUUGACAUUCUGAAUCCCCAUAAUAACCUCCUUCGUGCAACAAUGUGAAGACAAGUAAGAAAUAGUUUUUAAGUUUGAAAAACCCAUGUGCCUUCCUUUGUCAACAGAUCCACUUGGGCAAUCUGGCAAAUUACAUCUUUGCAGUUUAAUAUGCCUUAAUUGCAUUAGUCCCCAAAUUUGCACUGGACAAUUAUUUUCUUUAGAUGAGUAAGGAUACCCUUGAAAAAUGAAUGUCUGCAGAUUCCAUAACCUAAAAAUUUCUGGAGGUAUGUCUAAAUUCUUACGGCAUUGCAAUGAUAGGUACCUCAACCAGAUGAGGCUUAGUAUCUGUAAAGGGAAAUAAUCAAUCUCCAUGUGUCUCAACUCCAAGACUUUGAGUAAUUUGAAAUGAAUAAGCUCUGAUUUGAGAACACGAGGAAAACUUGAAUCCUCAAAUUGAAAAGAGAAAAUAGAAUGGGUUCGUUUCAAAAGAUUGUUGUUGUCAUGAUCUCUCAACUGAUGAUGUAUAGGGGUAAGAAGAACCUUAAAAAAACCAAAGUAACAAUCAUCAAUUUCAUCACCAAUCACGCGCAUAAAGGGCUGCUUUUCAUGCAUACUGUCAAGCACAAUGUCGUUCAUGAUAAAAACAUUUCCCCUUUGAAUUUCUCUCACACACAAGUCAUAUAUUAGAUCAUGAACCUUACAUGAUCUAAUUUUUGUUCCAUCUAGACUUUUCUUGCAAACGAGGACUAGACAUCUAUCGACAAGCUCUUGCAAACACUUCUCAGGCUCUCCUUCCAAAUCAUUUUCCAACUUUAGGAACCCCUUAGCCAUCCAUUAUCUCAUCAAAUUCUUCACUGGAAUCUCACUAUCUUCUGGAAAAAUCCCGAAAUGCAGAAGACAUGCUUUUAGAUCGCUAGUCAAGUGAUUGUAACUCAACCCAAGCACACGUGAACAUUGUUCAUCAAGAUCAUUUGUGAGAAAUGACUUGACAUCUUUAGCUACACUUUCCCAAUCUUCUAUUGCCCUUCUCGAUUUGAGAAGUCCAGCAACCACGACAAUAGUUAGUGGUAACCCGUGACAUUCAUCUGCGAUUUGCUUUCCAACAGUCUCGAACUCAUAUGGUAACGCUUCACUUGAAAAUGCUGUACUUUUGAAAAGACUCCAACUCUCAUCUUGAUCCAUGAAGCUCAUCCGCAAAGAAAGAUUCUCUGUAUCAGCAUAACAAGCUACUUCAUUGUUACGAGUAGUCAACAGUAUUCGACUCCCUGCAUUGUCUUCAGUUGGAAAGCAUCGUCUCACGCCAUCCCACACUUCACAACUCCAGAUAUCAUCCAAGACAAUUAAGUACCUCUUUUUCUUUAAACUUUUCUGUAGCAUGUCUGCUAGCUCUGCUUCACCUUUCAUCUCAACGGUGUCAUCCAUUUUGAUCGUCGAUCGCAGAAGGCCCAGCAAAAUUUCCUUUCUGUUGUGCUGUUGAGAUACGGUAGCCCAGGCAUGAACAUCAAAACGGCAUAGAAUUGAUUUUUGAUUGUAAACUUCUUUCGCUAAGGUUGUUUUACCUAUGCCUCCCAUCCCGACAAUCGGGAUGACUUUGGGUUCACCAGAGAAGUCUGUAGUCAGAUCAUUUAACAACCGUUCCCUUUGAUCAUCACGUCCAACCAUAUUGUUCUCAACAUUCAGGAUAUUUCUUGAUGAGCUUGGAAAGUCUUGAACCGUUGAUUCCUUUGAUGCAUGUUUGCCUUUAUCUUUAAUAUUUGUCGACUCUUUGCAGAUACGAUCAAUGUCCUCAGCUACUUGUUGCAGGCUAUCAGAAAGCCUCUCUUGUGCCUUUUCUCUCAGAUUUUCAUCAUUUGCCAAUACAACUUCAGCUACACUUAGUUGAAUUGUUUGUUCUACAAUAUUUGCUACUUCUUUUACCUCUACUUCCAAAUCUGUCAUUUUCCCAGAAACAUUGUUUUUCUCAAAGUUCUUGACAGCUACUUCCAGGGAGCUAAUCUUUUCAUGAAGAGCAGAAAAUUCUUCUCCGUGAUCACAGGUUAGAGAUUGCAUUGGUGAAUUAGAUUUCAAGAGCAAUUCUACUGUUCUCAUAAGAGAAGCCACACUUGCAUGAGCCAUAUCUACUAUAUUCACGUUUUCCUUUCCGAUUAAGACCUGAAAGCUGCAAGAUGCAAGAGGUCAAUGGUAUUAUAGGUAACGUGAUACACAGAUCGGCAAAAAAGGCAGGCAUAAACUAAAUCAGAUCAGGCGAUUUAUUAGUCUGUUUCAUGUUCAGGUCAAAUAUGUUACUACAGAUGAUUUUGCACUCUGAUAGUACAAUCCAUUAAUCUCUAACUCUUUGAAUUUGGCUAAAUAUUAGGGAAAUAAUAAUUAACACUGCCUAGAACAUAUAACUACCGGUUAUACAUAAUGUCACGACCCGACCCGAACCGAGGCCCUGGCCGUGACGGACAUCCCGAACCAUGAAGACCCGACAGUCCUUCUAACUUGUAAUCACAUACACCAUUCAUAUACAAAAAAGGAAGUGCGGAAAAAACAAAAUGAAAUGGAAUCAUGGCCAUAAAUCUGAAAUUUGUUCAACAAUACGAACAUAGGUCUUUCAAUAUAAAAGCAACAUCUUUUUCCGUCUGCGAAAUCUCAACUGCACAAGACAUCAAAACUUGUCUAAAUCUGGGACAAGGCCCCUAGUAGACCAAAACCAUAAUAAAUGACAAAUGAAUGAAAGAAAAUAGGCCUUCUGAAAUAUAGAAGGCUCGCUAACUGCACUCAUCACUCCAGGCUGCUUAUCAGGACCCCUUGAUUAAGCCUCAGAACCUGGAAGGUAGGGGGUCAAUACAGAUGUACUAGUACGCUGAGGAAAUCCAAAAUAAUAAUUUUUAUUCAACAUAUAUGAGAGCAAUUUAAAACAGUUCAUAAAUAUAUCAUAUGUUAAGAAUCACAUGGGCAUAUUUAAAAGACUCUAUAAAAUCUUCUGAACUCUAUGACAUGCUCUUUUUUGUACUUCUGCGCUAGGUGGUAUACCCUACAAUUCUGUAAUUGAUAACGAAAUCAAUUCACAACACGGAAACAAGACACAAAACACAAGACAAACCUAGGAUCAAAAGGGGAACAAGUCUCGGCCAACAAUAAUACCACAAGAACGAGACGAUACAAGGUGUAUUUUACACCAAAAACAACCAACAACAAUAUGAACACGAUAUGAUAAGACAACAAAAAUAAGAUAACAACAAUACACGGCUUUACUAGAACAAGAACACAAACAUGAUUGCAAGAAGUACAAGGAUAGGAAGUGAGACAUCAACUCUCACAAGAACUAAGAACCUAAGUGUAUGUCACACACUAAGACCCUUAAUACUUGUAAUAGGCAACACCUUUUACAUUGACACAAGAGGGUGUGAACCACUCAAGCACCAAGGUUUCUAACAAUGUUUGGAAAUACUAGCGAUUCCACCCUAGCAUCACCCUUAUUUCGGAUUUGGUGGCUUUUCCAAGCCCUUAACUAAGGUGGUACACUCCUCACACUAGAGAGAUUUUGGUUCAAGUGUUACAACUUUCAAUAUCAAUAAACAACUAAAGAACUAAAGACCUAAAACUAGUCUAUUUAUAGACUUAUUACAAACAUAAGUGAAAUGUUUCAAAAGCCCUUAAUGAAGGGAAGACAAAAGGUGCCUAUCGAGUGUAGUGUAUGGCCGGUUCUUGGUGUGUGAUAUGGUGUUCCUUUGCACUUCACCUGCACACUUCAAGUCUCGGGUUCGACGCGCACUCUCAUAAGUUCAUCUCCGUGAUUAUUCUUGUAUCAGUAAUUCCACGGGCUAUAUGGAAUCUGCCCUUAACGCGGCAGCCAAGCCCCCAACCCAAGUUUGCCGCAAGAUUCGGAGUCUCUGAAUCUCUACUACUCCACAGGGCCGUCGCCAGCGUACAAAAGUAACAUACCCGUAUCGGAAAAAUAUGAUUUUAGGCUAUGAGUCGAUUGAUUCGUGCCCUCUUCGGGUAACCACCUAACCCUCUUUAAGCCCAUUUUUUAUUCUUUACAACAUGCAAACUCUGAAAUCAAGUUCUAAAGACUUUAAUUCUGCUAUGGCAUAUAUUUACAUGGUAUCGUCAUACCAUUGACUUGCAAGUCACAUUCUCUGAGCCAUUUAUAGCAACUUAUGUCUCUAUUCUCAAAUCAUGAAAUUUAGACCACCAUAUCAACAAUUCUUUUCAAGAAACUCAUUCUUUAAAACUCAUGUAAAACCAUGCAAGCAAUUCUCUUUAUCAACAAUUCAAUAAACAAAGGUGGUCAUGUCAAAAUUCUUAAUUUUAUGCAAUUCUUUCUCUUUAACACAAAACAUAGUAAUAUCAAGAAACACCCUCUCAUCAUCUCUAAAUCAUGUUCAAAUACUAUGACAUUGAGGAAACUACUUUCAAUCAUAAAACAUGCAUUGCAACUCUUUUCCGACAAAACCAUAAAUUUCAAUUCAAUACAAUAGAGGGAGUUCAUAAUUUGCGCUCUCAAACAAUCUUCAAUCUCAAUUUUCAUAUAUAUACAUGUAAAUCAAUUUAGGGGAAAAGACCACAAGGCUAAAGCAAUAGUAACACUGAAACAUUAGGAGUACACAAUUUAAAACAUAGAUUCCAAAACCCUUUUAAAAUUCAUGCUUAAUAAUCUUAAAAUCAUGCUCUAGUGUUUUCAAGCUUGUUUUUAGGAUAAACUCCGCGUACCUUACACUAUAAGAGUUGAAAGAUGGAACCUAGAUCUUGAUAGAUGGAACCCGGAUAUUGACCCUUUUCUUAGAGUCUUGAACUUAAGAUCUUGAUUCUUGAUUUUGAGGGAAAGGAUUUAGGGUUUUAAUUUGAGAGGAAAAAUUGAAUUAAGGAGUGUAUUCUGCCUUUGGGGUGUGAAUAUUAUGUUAUGGAAGGACCUUGGGUGAGGUAAAGGUCCAAAUUGCCCUUAAAAAUGAAAAAACUGAACCUGAAAAUUAGGUGUGUGCGACGGAGCGUGCGUUGCACGCUAAUCGCGCGCAGCUACUGCCUCUCUCACGAAAAUGGCUGCAAGUUUUCGCUCGGGUAUCGGAUUUUGACGAAAUUGGUAUCGUUGGAAAGCUACUUCGAAGACCUUUCAUUUUAUAUAUAGAAAGCCUUCUAAUUUGAUAUAUACAGGGAGUUAUGGUUGAUAGAAGUUGACCCAAGUUUAAACGUCCACUGAAACUUAAUCACUAGAAAUGUUUUCAACUCGUCUUAGAGUUAGGGGAUAUUUGUGACCUCAAUUCAUAUUCAAAGGUAUUCCCACACUAUAGGAUUGAUAACCACACAUAUAUUAACAAGGAAUUAUCUAGUUCAGGUCCUUACGCGUAGGAACGACGGUCUAGAUUCUAGCCCGAAAGUACGGAGUGUUACACAUAUAGACACGUAUGUGAAAAUGUCUUCAAACUAUCUCAUCUGACACUCAGACGGGCUCAGUCAAUCACAAAAACACGCGAAAGGAAAAGCAUAGGAAGGCUCUUCGCAAAAUAAAACUACCCUAUGCGACUUCAUUUUGUAUUCAUGCAUUGAUACAUAUGUAGGUGAUGAUAUAACAUACAGGUUUUCAUGUAUAUUUUUUUGUGUCUAAUGAUGCCUGUAACGUGUUAAAUGUGGCAUGUGAGAGUUACUGGAUAUUUUGUGCUAAUUCCCUUCUCUUUUUAUGUAACUUUACAAAUUCAACUCCAAGUACUAGCAGACCACGUAGUUUGUUUUGUGGUGUCUCAGAGUCUUUAUGUUAUUGUUCUGAUUCCAUUAUUUCGAGCCACAUCCCAACGUGAACUCUUAUUAAAUUCUCUUACGACUCUGGAGAUGUACUUAGUUUUAUAACCCUAAAGUCAUCCUAAACUAGUAGAAAUUUUCAAAAUCCCUCAUUUUCUUCGUCCCAAAAGUUCUUCGAAGCAAGAAUAUAUAGAGUUCAAGAUUCAAGGCUCAAACUCAAGCUUUUCCAAACUUUUUUCCGUCAAAGGGUAUGUUUGAACACUCCCUACUUACACAAGGUAUUUAUUUCAAGUUAUUCGUAUUUUCUAAAUGAUGGAUUAAGACUAGGAUUGAAGAUUAUUGAUUUUUCAUGAAAAUUUGUUAGUGAAUCAUCACUUUUACAAAUUAUUUUCUAAACUUAUGUGUUCGCUCAACUAAUAGUUAUUAGAUUAAAAAUAUGAGUAAUUAAGGGAAACUAACCUUUCAAUAGUUGGGAAGAAGCAACUAAUCACUGUAACAAUAUACUAUAAGAAAAGAACAUAAAAAACACAAAUAUGAGUACAUGAAGGAAAGGUGUAAAACACAAAAGAUAUGCUAGCAAGAAAUCAAGAGAAAAUGGAUACCUCUCUGAAUGACUAAAAUGGUAGUAUUAAUUUUUGUUGCCUUGUGAUAAAUUGGGAUGAGAACAAUUAUUGUUGCAUAUGGGGAAAGUGCUUUUAUCAAUUUAUCUGGAAGACCACAUCAAUGGUAGUUUUUAGAUAAGAAGUUACUAAAAGAUGAUUACUUACAUAUAUAUAUAUAUAUAUAUAUAUAUAUAUCUUUAUUAUACUUUAAGAAAAGUAACGCAUUUAGCACCUUUCUGGACUAUGACCAAAUUUGCUACGAUUUACUUUAAUUUUAUGUAGGUUUUAUUAUCUCUGAAUUAAAUUUUAGUGUAUUUUUGUCGUUUUUUUAGCUAAUGUGACACCUUUUGUCAACCUUUGUAGCUGACAUGGCACCAAUGACGUGGGCCCUAUUUUAUUUUUUGUAAUAAAGAUGUCACAUCAGCCCAAAAGGGUGAUAAAAAUAUGCUAAAAUAGACUUCAGGGGUAAUAGAACUCCUGUGAAGUUAGAGUAUAUUGCAGCAACUUUGGUCAUAGUUCGAGGGGUACUAGAUGCUUAUCACUUUUUAAAAUAAAGUUAAAGAUGAUUAUAUUGUGUUUCAAUUGUCAUCAUACUAUUUUUGUUGUCAUGUUCUUUUUCUGAAUUUUAUGUCCUGCUUUCUUUAUUAAUUUUCGUGUUUUCUUCACUAUCGUUUUUUUUUAUAACUAAUUUGAUUUACUGAUUUUGAGAGAGAGUUCUUCGAAAACAGUAUCUCUACAUUCAUAAGGUAGAAAUAAGAUCUGCUUACACGUGACUUCCUCAGAUCUUACUUAUGAAAUUAUGUAAAAAUAUACCUCAUUGAUAUUAUAAAAAAUAGACCUUGGCCAAUUUGUUGUGCCAAUCACAAUUUUUGUGUUAUAUUAGCUGCCUCCCACUAAUAUUUUGUGGACCAAAUAAUUAUUUUAAAAGAAGAAAGGAAAUCUUUUGACUUAUGACUCAGCCGGUUAGUGACACUGUUAGGCUUGGAUUAGUGACCUCCAAUCAUUCCGCUUUUUCCUGUUAGUAACUUAUUUUUUUGGACAAAGUUAAAAGAGAAAAAGAAAAAAAAAAAAGGAAAGACCACUAUGCGGGUUAUGGAACUAGUUGGAAAUGUGAUGGAAGCUAAAAGAAAGAAAUUUAAAACUAAUUUGAUUUCUUGCAAUCCUUCUCAGAUCCCACUCAUUGAUAUAUUAAAAACAAGCUCUUGGCCAAUUUGUUGUACCAAUCACAAUUUUUGUGUUUAUAUUAGCUGCCAGACACUAUACUUUGUGGACUAAUAAGUCAAUUAAGAAUACUCCCUCCGUUUAAAAAAGAAUGACCUCUUUUCUUUUUUGACAAUACUUUAAUGACAUGUUUAUGACCACGAGAUUAAAGGACAUUUUGAUACAUUUGGCACUACUUUAAUUUAAGGCAACAAGAUUCAAAAAUCUACUUUAUUUUUUUAAACUUUGUAUUAAGUCAAAGUAAGUCAUUCUUUUUUAAACACAAGGACAGGGAGUAAUAAGAUAGGGUGGUGGAUCAAAACAAAUCUCCAACUAAGAAGCCAAAUAGUUGUUUUAAAAAAAGAAAGGAAAUCUUUUUGACUCUUAAAGAAAAUAUUACUCAAUUAUCAAGGAUACUUUAAUUUGAAAAAAGUAUUAAUUUGCAAAAAUAUUCCCUCCUUAUUUGGAGUUUCAUACUAAAAUUAUUGUGGGUGUGAUAAAUACAUUUAAACUAUCACUCAUUAGUUUAAGAAACACACCUUAAAAUAAAUAAAAAUUAAUUAAAAAAUAAUUAUCUUCUUUUUUUAAAAGAAAUAUAUACAUAUAUAUAUAUGUAUAUAUAUAAUUACAGACAAUGGAAUGCAGUUAAGACUUAUCUGUAAUUAGUAAUUCUAAUGAAAAACAAUAAACAAAAAUUAAAGUAAUAGUAAUGGAUAUUUUAAGUGAUGACACUUGAAACAAUGAUGUGCUAGACAUUUGGGUGAAUGAGAGGGCUACAUCCUUUGUUAUUAAAAAUAUAUUUGUAUACGUACUCGUGCGAUGUGCGACUAAAUAACGUAGUAUUUUAAAUAAUUAUAGAUUGCAAUGACUUACUCUAGUGUAAAAAAUUAUUGGACAUUAAUGUUUAGUAUAAAAAAAUUUAAUUAUUUGUAUAUGAUUUAAAAAUUGUUAUUUAAUAUAGAAAUAAUGGGGGAACGACGGACGUAACUAAAAUGUGCUUUUGAAAUUAUUUGACAGAAAUAGUUAUUAAUUUUUUAUUUUAUUUUUUAGUAAUUUACGACUCUAAAAAUACCGUUAAUUAGAAUAAGAAAAAUAAAUUAUUUUUUAAAAGUAGUGGCAUAAAUGGAUGACAUUAUUUACAAUAAUAAUGACAUGAAUGUGCAUAUUUUUUAUAUAUGAAAUAAAUAUGUAAUAUUUCUAAGUUAAAUGGCAUGUUUUUUUUUUUUUAAUUAAUAUUAAAAAAAUUUCGAUUAAUUAUUUACAAAUUUUAGUAUUUUCUUAUUUGAUUGUAUUAUUAUAUAUUAUUUUAAUUUUAUGAUUAAGUAUAUUGGAAAAUAAAUCUAGAAAAAGGUUAAAUUUAUGUAAAGCUAAAAAGUAAUAUUAAAAUAUAAAGAAGUUGACGUGAGUGCUAGUGUAGUAUUAUUUUCUUAAAAUAAAUAAUAUAUUGCUUCUUCUUCACGUAAAUAACAUAAAUAUCAGGUAAAUAACAUAAAUAUCAACCCUUUAGAAAUAAUUGGACUUUCUCCCAUGUUUUUAAUUACUUUAAUCUCUCUCCAUAUUAAUAUACAUAAUAUAGCCGAUAUAUACAUAACAUUCUGUGUAUAUGUUGAGAUUUUUGUAAUAUGUUUAGGGAGUUAGGAUUUUUUGUAAUAUUGAAAACAUAAGUUGUGUGUUUGUGUAAUUUUUAGAUGUUUUAUAUGAGAAAAACUGAUCCAUAAGUAAAAUAAAGCCCAUCCCAUAUAAUAAAAAUCUGUAUUAAAAAGUCCAGCCCAAAGGAUAAAAUAUAUUAAAAAAUGGGCAAAAUUUAGAAAUAGCAUACUUAGCCCCUUAAUUAUAAAUUUCAUAGCAACACUUUUAUAAUUGCAUUUUAUAGCAACUUUUGAUAUGUAUUUUUGCAAAGUGUUGCUAUAAAAAUACAAAUACAAUUGUUUUUACUGCAUUAAUUAACUGAUUUAAAUAUGGUAAUAAUUUCAUAAAUUAACAAUUAAUGAUUACAAUCCCAUUAAAAGCUCACUAAUCACCCUUUUUUGGUUAAUUCUAACAACCCUGUUCAAAUUAAAAAAAAAAAUUGUGUUAUCCACUCACUAUAUGCGUGAUUCUUCGAAAAAAAAAUCGAUUCAAAUUUCCAGUCGCUAAAUGCAUGAUUCUUCAAAAAAAAAAAAUCAAUUCAAAUUUUUGUUGAAACUUCAGAUUCGCUGUAAUUGAACAAUCAAAUUCAAUUGUAUUUGUUGUUAUUCAAAUUUUUUUUUGUGAAGUUUAACUAUCAACAUUAUGUUGUUCUCGUUAACACUUUGUAAUUCAAUUAUCUUGUUCGAAUUAGUGCAUAAGUGCGAUUUCAGGUAUUAGAUUAGUUUUUUUUAGUUGAGUAUAUUUUGUUUUUGCCGAUCUUUUUUUUUAAUUCCUCAAUUUGUGAUGCAUUGUAGAUUUAUUUACUGCUGUCGUAUAAUCAAUUAUGAGUAUAUUGAUAAUAGAAUUCGAUUUUAAGUCUGUUCAGUACUUUUUUGAAAGCCUAGCAGAAUGAUUGAUCGCAAUCAGCUUGAUUGUGGUUGUUCAAACUGAUGUAUUUGGUUGUGUUCGAUUUUGGUGUUUUUAAAUUAUAGUGUAUGUAAGCUUUAACAGAAUCUUCUGAACUCUUGUUAUUGCUAGAAACUAUUGCUUGAUUAUAUUUUACUUUAAACACUAUCAUAUGUAUGUUUUUAGUGUUGUCGUUGGUUCAUAUGUAUUGGUAGAACAAUAAAUCGAUUGAAAUCAUUUUGUUCUAGCUGAUAUAAUUCAUUUGGUUCGAACUGUUUGUAUUUGAUCGUAAAAAUUCUCAUAUGUAUUUUUGUGGCAGCAUUAUUGGUUCAUAUAUAUUGUUAGAAGAAUAAAAAAAAUAGAAUUUAGUUUGUUAGAUUUGAUAUAUUUGAGUAUGUUCAAAUUGAUGUAUUUUGUUGUGUUAUAAUCUGAUCUUUUUGAAUUUGAGUAUAUGUAAGCUUUAACUUAAUUUUUUUGAACCAUUGUUAUGGUUGGAAAAAGUUGUUGUGUUAACCGAAAAAUCUAUAUUCCUUAUUAGUGUAAAUGUAUUUUUGAGUUUAUUUGGUGGUUGUGUUAAUUUAUUUGCUAUUAUAAUAGAAAGGUGAGUGUUGUAACAAUUGACAUCUGACAAAUAUGUAUGUUUGUUUACUUUAUGUAAAAUCAAUUAGAAAUGAGAAGCAUACCAGUUCUUGUGAAGCACUCCGGUAGGUGGACGUAUGAAAAAAACUACGAAGAUUACGUCACUAAUGCUAUAAAGUUGAGCACAAUAGCAUCAUUCAAUGAUGUGCAUGAUAUUUUGACAUGUCACUUAAAUGUGGACUUAAAUAGAAAACGAAUUCUAGUAGAAUAUCAAAUCACUGGUAAUACAGGGCAAAUACAAAUACAUAAUGAUAUGGGUUUAAAGGUGUUUGUGUUGCAGAAAAAAGAUAUUCAAGACAUGCAUGUCUUCCUUCAUAUGUAAGCAUUUUGAAGAAAGUUGUAGGGAGCAACUUUGCAAGUACAUCUGUGUGUGUUGCUGAAAGAAGAGACAGAGCUGUGACAACUUGCAAACAAUAUUAAAUACAUAUAACGAAGGAGCUUUGGUGGUAUCUGAAGAUGCUGCAACAUUAGAUGUAUUUGAGAUGUAUACGGUUGAGGUGAUUAUCUUAUACCCAUAUCACAAGGAUAUUGAGGAAGUUCAGGUUUACUUGACCAAUAAAAUUUUAAAGUCAUUCAUCUGGACGGGAUAUGUUUGGGAAGAGGAGCAUCAACUCAUACAGUGAUUGUGGGGCUAAGGGUCACAAUAGGAGUUCUUGUAGGAAAUAUCGUAAAUAGACAUUUGUUCUUCCUUUAGAUUCUUAGUUAAGGCAUUCUUCUGCAUUUUUUAUUUGAAUGAACUCAAUUUUAUGUAUUAAGUCAUUUAUACCUCAUUUGAUAUAUGAAAAGUGUUAAAUCCGAAUGUUGUGUUUGUAUGCAUGUCAAAAAAAGAAUACUUAUUUGCAUUGUGAAAAAUACUAGUCAUAUGUAUUUUCAAUACUCUAUAUGUAUUUGUAACCCAUAUGUAUUUUCAAUACUCUGUCAGCAUACUCUAUUCAUAUGUAUUUUCAACUCAUAUGUACUUUUAUCACUGUAAAUGUAUUUUCACAUGGAUAUAUAUUUUCAACACAAUAUAUGUAUACAUGUCUAAAAUCACUAUAUAUGUAUUUGCAACUCGUAUGUAUUUUCAAAACUAUAUCUAUAUUUUUAACUAAUAUGUAUAUUUAAUAAUGUUUAUGUAUUUAUAAACAUAAUUAUUGUUAACAGUCAUAUUUAUGUUUAAAACUAAACAACUAAAAAAUGAUAUCUGAACUGUGUUAAAACUUAAUAGUGUAUUUAUUCAUAUUGCUAGAGUUUAACACCUAACAUAGGAUUUAGAUUUGAAAUGUAUUUUUAUCUAACUAUCUGAUCACUGCAUAUGUAUUUUAACACUAUGUAAGUAUUUUUAGGUUAUAUGUGUUUUUUAACUAUCAUAUGUAUUUGUUCAUCAAUAUGUAUUUUUAGUUGUAUAUGUAUUUUUUGGGUUAGUUCUCACUGCAACAUGUAAAAACUGAACAUAUAAAAUAAGUAAAAUCGAAUAAAUUUUUCACUUACUGUAACAAGCAGUUCAAUAUAAGUUUGCAAAAAUACAUAUUAAACUACAUCCAUAUACCCGUUUGUUACAAUAUCCAAUGUAAUAAAUUCACAAACCAUCAUACAUCUAGAACUUAUGUGGCACUAGUUAUUCUACUUUGCCUAACAGGCUUCGAUGGUGCUUCGAAAUCACUAUGAGCAUUCAUGUCUUGUUUUCGAAUACCAUAGUCCCACAGUAGUGCAGUAUAUCUUCUACAGAGUGUGUUGACAUGGACAUAUUUGGUGCCAAACGAGGAAGUUUUCUUGCAAUGAAUAUGCCGUCAUGCAACACCUAUAAAAAGUAAAACUACAAUGUCUUAAACUAUAACCAAAACACAAAGGUUAAAAAGAACACAGGUCACAUCAAUCCCUAACUACAUAUCAGCAUGACAUCAAUCUAUAAAUUCAUAUAUAUUAUGAACAGCAAAAAAAAAAAAAUACAAAAAUCAUCACUAAAAGCAAAAAACAUAUGUUAACAAAAUAUCAGCUCUCAUGAAUCCAUAAAUACAUAUCAUCCUGACAUAAAAAUACAUUUUACACCUACACCUUAUUAAACAAAACAAAAAGUACAUAUAACAUGUAUAUGCAUUUGAAUAUGAAAAAAAUACAUAUCAAAUAUACUUAAAAAUACGUUUAGCCACUAAAUCUUCAUUAAUAUCUCACAUAUGCUAAAAUACAUAUUAACGGCUAGAAUUUCCUAAAUACAUAUUAACGGCUUGAAAAAAUACAUAUUAAAUGCUUAUUAAACACAACAAAAAAAAUACAUAUAAAAAAAUAUUUACAAAGCCAAAAAUUACCUCAUCUUCAGUGUCUUCUUCGAAUUCAUCAGAGGAAGUAAUCUGAACAUCAACAUCCCCCUUCCUUACUUCUUCAAUUUCUUCGGCUUUCCUUUUCUUCUCAUACUUUUUUUUUUUUUGUUCAUUUACUGAAUCAAUUUUCUUCAUCCUUUUACCUUUUUUCAAAAUUUCAGUAAUCUUCAUCGCAUCGUUUCGAAACUUGGACCUAAUUUUCUUCAAACUCACAAAUUGUUUGGACUAUAAAGGAUUUGAAGCAACUUUAACUAUAUUUUAUUGAGUUAAACCAAGACUAAAUAAUGGCACAUAAUCAGAAACCAAAUUAGUAUUUCGUAUACCACUUUUUGAUAGUGAUUUUACUAUGUGUUCAGCCAUUAGAGAGUAGAAAUCGUACAAAUGAAUUUUCUAUGAAUUUGAAUAUAAAAAAAAAUUUGAAAACAUUAACAUGCAAUAACUGAGUUAAAUAGAUACCUGAAUUAUAGGAACAAAAUCGUUUCAGAUCGUGGUUGAAUUUGUGCAAAAGGAAAAAAUUGGAAGAAGAUUGGGACGCGAGAACAAGGAUAGCGGCGUGAAAAAAAGAUUUUAAAAAAAGAAAAUAUAUGUUGGAAAGCGUGAAAUAGGGAGAAUAUGCACAAUAACUUUUUCUCAAGGUAAAAGUAAUUGAGUUUUAUUAAAACUAAUACCAUUUAUGCUACAUGGAGUAAUUACACAAAAGUGUUGCUAUUUUUUGUAAUUUAACUCUUAAGUAUGCUACUCUAUGUAUUUUUCCCUUAAAAAAUUAUUAUAUCCAUAAAGAUUUUUCUAGAUUUGGAAAAGUAAUCUUGUCAGCUUAUUUUUGUCUGAAAUGAAAAGUUUCCUAUUCACCUUCAUCAUUAUUUCCAAACUCCAUUUUAGGAGAUAAUUUUUUUUAAAAAGUAUUACGAAUUCAAUUGGAAAAAAUAAUAAUAGGUGAAAGGUUUAAGAUUUUAUUUUUCAAACUUAGUUUCAUCGAAGUAUUCCGACUUGUUUAUUGUUGGUUCUUCGAAUCAAUCCAAGUUUUUUAUCGUCAUGUUUUUAUAAAUCUUUGAAAAUAAUCUCCAUAUAUGUUGGUUCGUAGCAGAUUUUGCGGUCUCCGUAAGGUUUGGUAAUAUCUCCUGUUAUUGUAAUUUUCUUUUUCUUUUUCUAGAUUUAGACAUACAAGUGAAAUGUAUGGUUUAUUAGUUGUUUAAUAUAUAUAUAUAUAUAUAAAACAGGGUGAAUAUGAGAAAUAUUUAGACAAUUAGUCAGUAUAAUAACCAUCAUCAUAUUCAUAAGGCCAAUAAUCGUUAUCAUCAGAGGCAAAAAAUCAUCUUCAUCAGAAUCUUUGUAAGAAUAAUCAUGAAUAGACCAUUGUUCCAUCAUAAUUUGAUCUAUAAUUUUAUCAAGGAUUUUUUCCUGUAAUUCUUUAUUUAAUUUUAUCACUUUAAAAGUAGUGAUUAAUGUGUUUUCACCUAAGAAAUAAGUAUAAUAACUCAUUAAGCUAUAAACAGAGUCUUUUUUAUUAUUUUAUUUUUAUAUCUUUUUAAUAGAGUAAUCUUUGUCAUUUUUAGAUUAUGAUUUUCAUUUAUAGCUGCGACUACUAAUAUUCUUAAUUUGUUGAUUUGAGAGUUAUUUAAAUAAUUUUUUAUACGAUACAUUCUUCUUGAAUAAUUUUUUAAAUUCUUUAUAUUAUUGUUAAGUCUUCUGAUAUUUAUUUUGGUUUCCCAAUACCAAUUGUGAUAUUUAUUUUCACGAUUAGUAUUUUGGACAAAUGGAGGAGCGAAGACGGAUGAUACGUUAUUAGGCUGAUCCCCUAGAAUAGAAGUGCUGAGGGGAGGGAUUUGGAGUGGAUUUCCGUGUCCCUCUAAAGCAUGGGAAUUGAUGGUGAUGGCCAAGUUAGCCAAAUCCCGAGUGUGAUUUACUUCUUCCUGAAACAUUUCUAACUUUCUUGCAAGUUCCGCAAUCAUCUCAUUCUAUUCCGCUAUCACACUGUCCCGAAUAGUCAGGAUGCUUUCCUCGUCAUUUCCUGUCAUUUUUGAAUGAUGGUCAGGGGAUGAUAUUUUGUGCACUUUCGAUCGGGUGAAGUGGGGAUGUUCUGCCAGCUUAUAUCAACAUGGAGUAAUUUCUAUUAUCUGUAAAGUAAAACAUCUCAAAGGCAGAUGUGUUAGUUUCCGUAUGUGAUAAGUAAUGCAAAAUAUUUGAUAGAAAAUAACCAUAUAGAAUUGUUUAAGUCCUUGACAAAUUCAUCCAUAGGAGCAUAGCGGAUAAACUUGCCUUUGAUCCAAACAAACACCACAAGCACACAAAACAUUAUAAUAAUGCGUAUCCUAACUGGGGUGAUCCUUUUUGAGCCAAAGGUUUAGGCCUAACGAUUUUUGAAGAAAGUAUAUGCUUCCCUAAAGUCAAUCCAUUAUCCCCCAACUUAUAUAGACACGAAACAAGCAUAAAUGCGUACAAACGAUAACAAAAGAGGGAUACAAUCUUUGGGGAAAAAGGGAAAUAACAUGAAAAAGGAUAAGUUCCCACGCAGGGGAAAUAGAAAAAAUAGCUACUGGAGGCUCCUUCGUCUGCCUUUGUCUUCUUAGCUAUGUCCACUUCUCAUAUUGGUGACAUCUGUCGGUGCUCAAAUUGUGCCUUAGAUGCAACCUCCCAAAUCGAUCAAUUUCUUGCUGCCUUUGCCUUCUUAGCUUUGUCCACUUCUCAUAUUGGUGACAUCCGUCGGCGCUCAAAUUGUGCCUUAGAUGAAACCUCCCAAAUCGAUCAAUUUCUUGCUUAACUUUCUUCAAUUCUUCUCACGAAAGUAAGCAAGUCAAGCUUUUUUCCCGACCCCCAAAGGAUAAUGGAUUAAAUUAGACAGGCAUACAUUUUCUUCAACACAUAAAUAUGGUUUGUCUAUAAUUGACUCAGGGUCAAUAGACGUACGGCAGGUAUUCUAAUGGGCCCAAUAACCCACUUGGGUACUGGGUCGUCGUAGGCUCAUGCCUAAAAUAGGGUUUUGGUUUCGUUCAAUCCUAGGUGUCUAGAGUGGGUUUGAACAUUGAUUCUCAAGCGGACAACUUGAGUUUGAAAAUACGAACAACCAUCAGAUGACUCACGUGCUAAUAAACUGUUUGUAUUUCUAACACAUUUUUGGAAUUAAUCAAUAGGGGCCGGGAUACCCACGAAACCCUAAAAUAGUUUAAAUAAUGCAGGAAUAUGCUAUGAGAUGCGAUAGUCAAACUUUACAGAAUCAAAACAUAUAAACAUAUAAAUAGUUAAUCAAAAGACGAAAUCAAACAUUUGAUUAGAACCUAGUUAAAAGUCCCGAGUGGAGUCGCCAUUUCUGUUUUUGCAGAGAAAUUUUUUAUUUUUUCAAGAGAAUCGCCACUUAAUUUUGAAAAGGAAUUAAGAAACCUUUAUAAAAGUUACUUCAAAUGAUUUAAAAUAGGAAAAUCGUUUUAAGUUAGAUAUUCUAGAUAAGCGGUUCCUAUUAAUAUUUUAGGAAGGUGUUAGGCACCUAAAACAUCCGCUAACUUGCGGAUAUCCGAACUGUUUGAAAACGUCUUUUGACUAACUUUAGAAAAUAGAUUGGUUUUUGAAAAGAAAGCGAUUUUAGAAAUAUUUUGGUGUUUAUGCAAAACCAGUUUUUAGCGACUUAGUUAGGGAUUUUAACUAGGUUCGCAAGAAAACACAUAAACCAAAUUAGCAAAAGUAAAAGGGAAAGGGUAGAAGCAUAAGGACUUGAGACAUUAGGCCCAAAUCGACAACCCUGUCCUAAUCUAGAUAUUGGGCUUUCAGCCCGUCUUCCACCUGUCCUAAUUCUAUGUUUUCGAUCCCUUAGCUCGAGCUUGCUCUACCUGUAUUAAGUUCAACCUUGGCUUCGAGGCCCAAAUGAAUAGAUAAGAAAAUAAAUAAAUAAAUAAAUACAUAAAUAAAGACGACAAUGAAGAAAUGGAUGAAACAACAAGCAAGAUAUUGAAUCUCUUAGCCGCUUCAAAAUGGGUUAUUAGCUCGUGCUUCUCUGUUCAUCUCAUCGCAUCCAAUAGGCCAUAAGAUCGAUGUUUGGGCUUUGUUUCAAAGCGGUUGGCAUAAAGAUACCUGGCCCUAAUGGCCCAUGAAGAAAAUGCGAGGGGGGCAGAUGAGUCUGUUUUGGACUCAAAGUGCACAGUGCAUGCAAAAGAAAUAAAUAAGGAUUAGAAAUGGAUAAGCACAAGUCUGUAUAAAAAAUAUGCACUUUGGCAAAAUAUAAGCAAAAAUAUUGUAAUAAAGUUUAGCAAAGAGAAACCACUGCAUCACAUAUAACCAUUUUCAGUUAAGCAACUAAGGGAACCCAAAUUUCAAAAGGCAAACAACUGAAGCAUAAUGAUGUCAACUUUAUUAAAAGGAUUUAGGAUAACCAAACUUGUCACUGGAUUUCCAAAUCAAAAGAAGAAACUUAUUCUAUUUGCUACUUCUUUUCCUUUUAUUAUUAUUAUUAUUAUUAUUAUUAUUAUUUGAAGUAUAUAUAUAGUACCUAGGCAUGCCGGACAGCUGCAGACAAGAACCUACACGCAGGUUUAUGGAGAGAAGGUAAUAAAACACGUACGCAUCAUUCGAUGAUUGAAAAUUGCCUUACAGAACUCUUAGAGCUCUAGGAAAAUGAACCCAAAAUUGAAUCAAAAAUACAGAAGCAUGAGGGAUAGCAACUUGAAUAGGUUGUUUCUGCUAGACCCUCGACUCAAAAAUAAAAUGAUUUAGACAUGAGACGGCAAGAUAUGAUAUGUUCAACACGUCCAAUAACAUCAUAAACCAAAUACCCUGAGUAAUGCAACAAAAGAAAUAACAUCCUACUAUAACUUAAGCUAUGCAACCUGCUAAAAAUACAUAAGAUUAAAGAUAGGAAAUUUACUCUAUUCUUAUUAAACAAAUGGCGACAUCUAGGUAAAUAAUGGAUGGCCAAAGAAGCAUGUGAAAUAAACAACAAUGAAUAAAUAACUAAACAAAGAGUUCAAGAUUUAAGCAAAAGUUUGUAAAACCGAGGAAAGCAAAACAUAAGCUAAAAUUAGGGAUCAAGCGAUUAUAACGGCAAUCAGCCUAGCGUAGCAAGACUCUAGAUGCAAAAGAUGAAAAUUUUAAGCGAAAAGCAAAGCCUUGAUGAGGUAUACAUUGAUUCAUGCCACGAACUCUCAGGUAAACCACCAAUCAGUUUAGUACAGUAUGUUCAACAGGGUUAUAUUAAAAUUAUGACUUGAACACUGCUUCAGGGAAAUGGCACAACAACAGUCAAAAUACAACCCCUAAAGCCAUCAUAGCCAAAUGCAGUAGAAAGAUCCCAGCCUCAUUCAUGACAAACACAUAACUACUUCUACGGGAAAAGAGAAAAGGGAUGAAGCCGAAAGUGAUGAGUUUAAAAGGAAAAAAUUAUGUUCACCUCCUCUAGGGUAGCAAAAUGAGGACCCGAGCUAUCAGUCAAAUUUGCUAC